UACAUGGGGUGCAAACGUUGCUCGGAUUCAUUGGGCGUAAAGGGUGCGUAGGUGGCGUGGUAAGUCUGGUGUGAAAUCCCGGGGCUCAACCCCGGAACUGCACUGGAUACUGCCAUGCUUGAGUACUGGAGAGGAGAUUGGAAUUUACGGUGUAGCAGUGAAAUGCGUAGAUAUCGUAAGGAAGACCAGUGGCGAAGGCGAAUCUCUGGACAGUUACUGACACUGAGGCAGCGAAGGCCAGGGGAGCAAAGCGGG
rnacentral:rRNA from 1 species